GCGGCUCAGCACGGUACGGCGGGCGGCUCAGCACGGUACGGCGGGCGGCUCAGCACGCCCUGAGGGAUGGCACAAAAUUGCAGGGACACGGUUUGGCGUUAACUCGCUGCUGCUCACACUGUAAUCAUGAAACCGAGUCGACGUUCCUGCUCCCCUGAAGUAGCGAAUAUUACACAGCGGCCUCUCUUUGGUUACUAAGAAAACAAGAGUGUUCUCUAAUGGAUUCCACAGUUUCACAGCACUGUGUCACUAUGUGCCAUUCCCCUCCCAGCUCAGUCCCCAUUCAGUCCCCUUGCUGCCUCUGCAGCUCCUGGGUUUGUUGUCUCUGGCUCAUUUCUCAUCCCUACGUGCCACUUAUCGCCAGUAAAUUGGUGCUGAGCUGAGUCUGUA